UGCGGGAAUAGCUCAGUUGGUAGAGCACGACCUUGCCAAGGUCGGGGUCGCGAGUUCGAGUCUCGUUUCCCGC
rnacentral:tRNA from 1 species